rnacentral:rRNA from 1 species
AACGAACGCUAUCGGUAUGCUUAACACAUGCAAGUCGGACGGACUAAUUGGGGCUUGCUCCAAUUAGUUAGUGGCAGACGGGUGAGUAACACGUGGGAAUCUGCCCAUCAGUACGGAAUAACUUUUAGAAAUAAAAGCUAAUACCGUAUAUUCUCUACAGAGGAAAGAUUUAUCGCUGAUGGAUGAGCCCGCGUCAGAUUAGGUAGUUGGUGAGGUAACGGCUCACCAAGCCGACGAUCUGUAGCUGGUCUGAGAGGAUGAUCAGCCACACUGGGACUGAGACACGGCCCAGACUCCUACGGGAGGCAGCAGUGGGGAAUAUUGGACAAUGGGCGAAAGCCUGAUCCAGCAAUACCGAGUGAGUGAUGAAGGCCCUAGGGUUGUAAAGCUCUUUUA